UACGUAGGGUGCAAGCGUUAUCCGGAAUUAUUGGGCGUAAAGAGCUCGUAGGCGGCCUGUUGCGUCCGCUGUGAAAUCCCGGGGCUCAACCCUGGGCGUGCAGUGGAUACGGGCAGGCUGGAGGCAGGCAGGGGAGAACGGAAUUCCCGGUGUAGCGGUGAAAUGCGCAGAUAUCAGGAAGAACACCCGUGGCGAAGGCGGCUCUCUGGGACGGUACUGACGCUGAGACGCGAAAAGCGUGGGGGAGCGAACAGG
rnacentral:rRNA from 1 species